UAGAAUCUUCGGGGCAGGGUGUGAUUCCCUACCGGCGGUAAAGUCCGCGAACCUUAUGGUUGAAUCGGUGCAAUUCCGAUACCGACAGUUAAAGUCUGGAUGAUAGGAGAUUAGU
rnacentral:ncRNA from 2 species